UCCUUGUCGGGUAAGUUCCGACCUGCACGAAUGGUGUAACGAUCUGGGCACUGUCUCAGCCACGAGCUCGGUGAAAUUGUAGUAGCGGUGAAGAUGCCGCUUACCCGCAACGGGACGAAAAGACCCCAUGAACCUUUACUAUAGCUUCACAUUGGUAUUGGGUAAAUGAUGUGUAGGAUAGGCGGGAGACUUCGAAGCUGUGUCGCCAGGCAUGGUGGAGUCGUUGGUGAAAUACCGCCCUUUAUUUAUCUGAUGCCUAAUCCAUUAAUGGAGACAGUGUGUGGUGGGUAGUUUGACUGGGGUGGUCGCCUCCAAAAGAGUAACGGAGGCUUUCAAAGGUACCCUCAGUACGCUUGGUAACCGUACGUAGAGCGCAAUAGCAUAAGGGUGCUUGACUGUGA
rnacentral:rRNA from 1 species